AUGUUAUGGAGCGCUGCAUUCAUCUGCUGUCUGAUCCCAGCCUCAGGCUCCGACUCAAGGUACUGGACGUGCUGGAGUUGUGCGUUCAGGUGCUGAGUGAGAGGGAAAAUGAACUGCUGCCUAUGGCUCAUCGCUGCUGGCCAGCACUCCUGCAGAGACUCACAGCCGAUGACCCAUUAGCAGUCCUCAGAGCCUUCAGGCUGAAGCAGACCUAGAUGCU